rnacentral:rRNA from 1 species
AGGGUGUAAACGCUGCAGACUUGGUGUUGGAGGCCCUUUGGGGGCAUUCAGUGCCGGAGAGAAGUUGUUAAGUCUGCUACUUGGGGAGUACGUCCGCAAGGAUGAAACUUAAAGGAAUUGGCGGGGGGAGCACCGCAACGGGAGGAGCGUGCGGUUUAAUUGGAUUCAACACCGUAAAACUCACCAGGGAAGACUGUUACAUGAAGGCCGAGAUGAAGACUCUGCUAGAUUUUCAGAGAGGUGGUGCAUGGCGUCAGUGACU